rfam:Sorghum bicolor cultivar BTx623 chromosome 9, whole genome shotgun sequence.
GUAGUCGGAUUCGCAUCAAUCCAUAUGUGUUGGAGUGGAUUGGAGUGGAAUUUAAAUUAAAUUCCACUCCAAUCCACUUCAAUACACGUGGAUUGAGGUGAAUCCGACA